AUUUUACGACGAAAACAAGUGGGACUCGUCUCGGCUCCCUUCCACUCGCUAUAGCGACCGAGAUGACAUCCUCACUCGCUAUAGCAACCUGUCAGGCCUCAAAGGGGUCCUCCUUUGCGUUCUCCUUUGAAUUCUCAUCGAAACGCUUUUCGUUUCGUCUCAAUCGGAGUUUCCGUUGAGAUUUUACGACAAAAACAAGUAAACCUCAUCUUAAACUCCUUGGCUUGUUUCUGCUCACCCUACCUCCAUCUUUGCGUUCACUUUCGAAUCUUGAUCGAAACGUCUCUUGUUUCGCCUCGAUUGAAGUUACCAUUGAGACUUUACGAUAUAAAAAAAAAAAAAAAAAAAGACCUAUUUUCUCGCAUGGAUUCAGAUUAAUCGUAUAAAACGACAAUGGUUAACUUAACACCUUAGCCGCCUUAACUAUACGAUUACGUUGGACCUUUUUACAAAAAUCGACGUCUUAUCUAAGGAGAAGAUAACAGUCAAGUUCGGAAGAUAAAUGUCAAGUUUCAAAGGAUAAACACCAAUAUCGGAAAUGGCGAACAUACACGAGAAUAGGAAACAGAAAUGAGCACGCAAAACUGAGAAGGGACAAAACUGCAUCUUCGAGAGAACUAAGGUAUUUCCGACUUGAAAUUUUUGAAAUCAGACUUGGAAUUUUCGUAGGAAAUUACUUUGAGGCUGCCAUAGAACUUUAGGGAACGUAAAACCUAGGCGGAUAGUCUAGCGAACUAAGUUUUAAGCGAUUUUUCCUGUCUCGAUAUAUUGUCCCAUAAUUGUUCAUCCAGAUCUUGCAAACCGAUCUAAACUCUCCGAAAGUCGAGAAAUGAUCGCCACGCAUAUCAAGCUCGCUUCCUAAAGAGAGAAAAAGUUAGAGACAUGAACGUCGUCUUAAAACCGAUUCGUUUCUGGCAAUUUUCUCGGAACCGACAUAUCCCAAGUCGUCAACGUGGAAACAACCAAAUCACAGUCCAAGCGUCGUCUAUAAAUCGUCCCGAAUUAUCGAUCAUUCCAAACAUCAGGAGAGGAAACGUACACAACCCUUCAAAGUAUCGGUUCAACCGUUUUUCUUUCGUAAAAAAAAAAAAAAAGGGGGAGUAGGUACGUAUACUAUACUCGUAUACUCCCAAACUUCAAAAAACUUCUGCAAAUCGUCAAGAAUAGGCAAACGACAAUCUUAAUAUUCGUCUAAACGCUAGCAACAUAUCCAGACGAUCAUGAACAUAAUCUCAAAAACUAUACAUCAUUUCUUGUCGCAAUCAUGCGUACAGAAAACUUGUACCAAUAUCAAACUGAAACUCGACGAUUAGCCAAAGUAUUGAAGCCUUUUCCGGCUUCAGAAAGCCAGUUUCGUUUUAAACUUAGCGGCGAGAAAUCUUCAAUCACCAAAGCAUUUCUUUCAGUUUCCGUUGUACCAAGUAAGUCACGGAAAAGUAUCGAAAACAUUUGCGACGAAGAAAACUCGAGAAUAUAUGUAGCAUCGUGCACAUUAAAAGAAGCACUUUCCUCCCGAUGGUUAGCUAGAUC
rnacentral:lncRNA from 1 species